rnacentral:rRNA from 1 species
AUUGAACGCUGGCGGCAGGCCUAACACAUGCAAGUCGAGCGGAUGAAGGGAGCUUGCUCCUGGAUUCAGCGGCGGACGGGUGAGUAAUGCCUAGGAAUCUGCCUGGUAGUGGGGGAUAACGUCCGGAAACGGGCGCUAAUACCGCAUACGUCCUGAGGGAGAAAGUGGGGGAUCUUCGGACCUCACGCUAUCAGAUGAGCCUAGGUCGGAUUAGCUAGUUGGUGGGGUAAAGGCCUACCAAGGCGACGAUCCGUAACUGGUCUGAGAGGAUGAUCAGUCACACUGGAACUGAGACACGGUCCAGACUCCUACGGGAGGCAGCAGUAGGGAAUAUUAGACAAUGGGCGAAAGCCUGAUCCAGCAAUGCCGCGUGUGUGAAGAAGGUCUUCGGAUUGUAAAGCACUUUAAGUUGGGAGGAAGGGCAGUAAGUUAAUACCUUGCUGUGUUGACGUUACCAACAGAAUAAGCACCGGCUAACUUCGUG